rnacentral:rRNA from 1 species
UACGUAGGCAGCAAGCGUUGUUCGGAGUUACUGGGCGUAAAGGGUGCGUAGGCGGUCCUAUAAGUAUGGUGUGAAAUCUCCCGGCUUAACUGGGAGGUGCGCUAUAGACUGUGGGACUAGAGUGUGGGAGAGGAAAGUGGAAUUCCUGGUGUAGCGGUGAAAUGCGUAGAUAUCAGGAGGAACACCGGUGGUGUAAACGGCUUUCUGGACCAUAACUGGCGCUGAGGCACGAAAGCGUGGGUAGCAAACAGG